GACGAACGCUGGCGGCGUGCUUAACACAUGCAAGUCGAACGGAAAGGCCCUGCUUUUGUGGGGUGCUCGAGUGGCGAACGGGUGAGUAACACGUGAGUAACCUGCCCUUGACUUUGGGAUAACUUCAGGAAACUGGGGCUAAUACCGGAUAGGGGCUCCUGCUGCAUGGUGGGGGUUGGAAAGUUUCGGCGGUUGGGGAUGGACUCGCGGCUUAUCAGCUUGUUGGUGGGGUAGUGGCUUACCAAGGCUUUGACGGGUAGCCGGCCUGAGAGGGUGACCGGCCACAUUGGGACUGAGAUACGGCCCAGACUCCUACGGGAGGCAGCAGUGGGGAAUAUUGCACAAUGGGCGGAAGCCUGAUGCAGCAACGCCGCGUGCGGGAUGACGGCCUUCGGGUUGUAAACCGCUUUCGCCUGUGACGAAGCGUGAGUGACGGUAAUGGGUAAAGAAGCACCGGCUAACUACGUGCCAGCAGCCGCGGUGAUACGUAGGGUGCGAGCGUUGUCCGGAUUUAUUGGGCGUAAAGGGCUCGUAGGUGGUUGAUCGCGUCGGAAGUGUAAUCUUGGGGCUUAACCCUGAGCGUGCUUUCGAUACGGGUUGACUUGAGGAAGGUAGGGGAGAAUGGAAUUCCUGGUGGAGCGGUGGAAUGCGCAGAUAUCAGGAGGAACACCAGUGGCGAAGGCGGUUCUCUGGGCCUUUCCUGACGCUGAGGAGCGAAAGCGUGGGGAGCGAACAGGCUUAGAUACCCUGGUAGUCCACGCUGUAAACGGUGGGUACUAGGUGUGGGGUCCAUUCCACGGGUUCCGUGCCGUAGCUAACGCUUUAAGUACCCCGCCUGGGGAGUACGGCCGCAAGGCUAAAACUCAAAGGAAUUGACGGGGCCCCGCACAAGCGGCGGAGCAUGCGGAUUAAUUCGAUGCAACGCGGAGAACCUUACCUGGGUUUGACAUGGAUCGGGAGUGCUCAGAGAUGGGUGUGCCUCUUUUGGGGUCGGUUCACAGGUGGUGCAUGGCUGUCGUCAGCUCGUGUCGUGAGAUGUUGGGUUAAGUCCCGCAACGAGCGCAACCCUUGUUCACUGUUGCCAGCACGUUAUGGUGGGGACUCAGUGGAGACCGCCGGGGUCAACUCGGAGGAAGGUGGGGAUGACGUCAAGUCAUCAUGCCCCUUAUGUCCAGGGCUUCACGCAUGCUACAAUGGCUGGUACAGAGAGUGGCGAGCCUGUGAGGGUGAGCGAAUCUCGGAAAGUCGGUCUCAGUUCGGAUUGGGGUCUGCAACUCGACCUCAUGAAGUCGGAGUCGCUAGUAAUCGCAGAUCAGCAACGCUGCGGUGAAUACGUUCCCGGGGCU
rnacentral:rRNA from 1 species